GGGGUUCCAGACCCUUCUCUGGAAAAGUGGGUGCGGGGCGCGGGGAGUGUUGUGAGGUGCCCGGAGCUCCUGUGCUUUGGUUGCCUUCAGCUCGGGUGGGCGGGAGGAAAACAUGCACCUUCCAGGAAAGGGAAUCCCCGCUCCCAGCCCCAGGAAAGUCCCUCCCCCCACCACAUUCUGAAAGAGGAGAGGUGUUUCCCUGAUCUCCAGGCGCGAAUGCAGGGCCACCUUAAGCCUCCACUGAAGACAAGUAUUCAGAUGCGUAGGAAAGCCCGCUGCAACCCAGGUACAAUGCGCUUGAAGACUUGUUAAGACCUCCGGGAUACAGUUCUCCCAUUGACGUGUGCGCCGUGGGGAGCGUACUGGUGGAACUGUAUCAUUAAGACCGCUUUUCCCAGGAACAGAUAAAACUGCCAGGUGUGGUGGUGCAUGUCUGUGAUCCCAGCAGCAAGAGGCAGAGGCAAGAG
ensembl:lncRNA